rnacentral:rRNA from 1 species
GGGUUGUGAGGUUAAGCGACUAAGCGUACACGGUGGAUGCCCCGGCAGUCAGAGGCGAUGAAGGACGUGCUAAUCUGCGAUAAGCGCCGGUAAGGUGAUAUGAACCGUUAUAACCGGCGAUUUCCGAAUGGGGAAACCCAGUGUGACUCGUCACACUAUCAUUAACUGAAUCCAUAGGUUAAUGAGGCGAACCGGGGAACUGAAACAUCUAAGUACCCCGAGGAAAAGAAAUCAACCGAGAUUCCCCCAGUAGCGGCGAGCGAACGGGGGGAGGAGCCCAGAGCCUGAAUCAGCAUGUGUGUUAGUGGAAGCGUCUGGAAAGGCGCGCGAUACAGGGUGACAGCCCCGUACACAAAAGCGCAUGUGCUGUGAGCUCGAUGAGUAGGGCGGGACACGUGGUAUCCUGUCUGAAUAUGGGGGACCAUCCUCCAAGGCUAAAUACUCCUGACUGACCGAUAGUGAACCAGUACCGUGAGGGAAAGGCGAAAAGAACCCCGGCGAGGGGAGUGAAAAAGAACCUGAAACCGUGUACGUACAAGCAGUGGGAGCACAGGUUUACCUGUGUGACUGCGUACCUUUUGUAUAAUGGGUCAGCGACUUAUAUUCUGUAGCAAGGUUAACCGUAUAGGGGAGCCGGAGGGAAACCGAGUCUUAAUUGGGCGUUAAGUUGCAGGGUAUAGACCCGAAACCCGGUGAUCUAGCCAUGGGCAGGUUGAAGGUUGGGUAACACUAACUGGAGGACCGAACCGACUAAUGUUGAAAAAUUAGCGGAUGACCUGUGGCUGGGGGUGAAAGGCCAAUCAAACCGGGAGAUAGCUGGUUCUCCCCGAAAGCUAUUUAGGUAGCGCCUCGUGAAUUCAUCUCCGGGGUAGAGCACUGUUUCGGCUAGGGGCCAUCCCGGCUUACCAACCCGAUGCAAACUGCGAAUACCGGAGAAUGUUAUCACGGGAGACACACGGCGGGUGCUAACGUCCGUCGUGAAGAGGGAAACAACCCAGACCGCCAGCUAAGGUCCCAAAGUCAUGGUUAAGUGGGAAACGAUGUGGGAAGGCCCAGACAGCCGUGAUGUUGGCUUAGAAGCAGCCAUCAUUUAAAGAAAGCGUAAUAGCUCACUGGUCGAGUCGGCCUGCGCGGAAGAUGUAACGGGGCUAAACCAUGCACCGAAGUUGCGGCAGCGAACGUAUCACCCAAGACAACUUUACGGAGUUGACGAUUGACGGAGCGAAGCGACGUCAAAGCGUUCAUUAAAGUCGAGUUGGCUUAGGGAUACGUUCGUUGGGUAGGGGAGCGUUCUGUAAGCCUGUGAAGGUGUGUCGUGAGGCAUGCUGGAGGUAUCAGAAGUGCGAAUGCUGACAUAAGUAACGAUAAAGCGGGUGAAAAGCCCGCUCGCCGGAAGACCAAGGGUUCCUGUCCAACGUUAAUCGGGGCAGGGUGAGUCGACCCCUAAGGCGAGGCCGAAAGGCGUAGUCGAUGGGAAACGGGUUAAUAUUCCCGUACUUGGUGUUACUGCGAAGGGGGACGGAGAAGGCUAUGUUGGCCGGGCGACGGUUGUCCCGGUUUAAGCGUGUAGGUGUGUGUUCCGGUAAAUCCGGUUCACUUUAACACUGAGGCGUGACGACGAGGCACUACGGUGCUGAAGCAACAAAUGCCCUGCUUCCGGAAAAGCCUCUAAGCAUCAGGUAACACGAAAUCGUACCCCAAACCGACACAGGUGGUCAGGUAGAGAAUACCAAGGCGCUUGAGAGAACUCGGGUGAAGGAACUAGGCAAAAUGGUGCCGUAACUUCGGGAGAAGGCACGCUGACACGUAGGUGAAGUGAUUUACUCAUGGAGCUGAAGUCAGUCGAAGAUACCAGCUGGCUGCAACUGUUUAUUAAAAACACAGCACUGUGCAAACACGAAAGUGGACGUAUACGGUGUGACGCCUGCCCGGUGCCGGAAGGUUAAUUGAUGGGGUCAGCGUAAGCGAAGCUCCUGAUCGAAGCCCCGGUAAACGGCGGCCGUAACUAUAACGGUCCUAAGGUAGCGAAAUUCCUUGUCGGGUAAGUUCCGACCUGCACGAAUGGCGUAAUGAUGGCGGGCUGUCUCCACCCGAGACUCAGUGAAAUUGAACUCGCUGUGAAGAUGCAGUGUACCCGCGGCAAGACGGAAAGACCCCGUGAACCUUUACUAUAGCUUGACACUGAACAUUGAGCCUUGAUGUGUAGGAUAGGUGGGAGGCUUUGAAGUGUGGACGCCAGUCUGCAUGGAGCCGACCUUGAAAUACCACCCUUUAAUGUUUGAUGUUCUAACGUGGACCCGUAAUCCGGGUUGCGGACAGUGUCUGGUGGGUAGUUUGACUGGGGCGGUCUCCUCCUAAAGAGUAACGGAGGAGCACGAAGGUUGGCUAAUCCCGGUCGGACAUCAGGAGGUUAGUGCAAUGGCAUAAGCCAGCUUGACUGCGAGCGUGACGGCGCGAGCAGGUGCGAAAGCAGGUCAUAGUGAUCCGGUGGUUCUGAAUGGAAGGGCCAUCGCUCAACGGAUAAAAGGUACUCCGGGGAUAACAGGCUGAUACCGCCCAAGAGUUCAUAUCGACGGCGGUGUUUGGCACCUCGAUGUCGGCUCAUCACAUCCUGGGGCUGAAGUAGGUCCCAAGGGUAUGGCUGUUCGCCAUUUAAAGUGGUACGCGAGCUGGGUUUAGAACGUCGUGAGACAGUUCGGUCCCUAUCUGCCGUGGGCGCUGGAGAACUGAGGGGGCUGCUCCUAGUACGAGAGGACCGGAGUGGACGCAUCACUGGUGUUCGGGUUGUCAUGCCAAUGGCACUGCCCGGUAGCUAAAUGCGGAAGAGAUAAGUGCUGAAAGCAUCUAAGCACGAAACUUGCCCCGAGAUGAGUUCUCCCUGAGACUUUAGGUCUCCUGAAGGAACGUUGAAGACGACGACGUUGAUAGGCCGGGUGUGUAAGCGCAGCGAUGCGUUGAGCUAACCGGUACUAAUGAACCGUGAGGCUUAACCUUACAACGCCGAAG